rnacentral:rRNA from 1 species
GAUGAACGCUGGCGGCGUGCCUAAUACAUGCAAGUCGAGCGAACAGACGAGGUGCUUGCUCCUCUGACGUUAGCGGCGGACGGGUGAGUAACACGUGGAUAACCUACCUAUAAGACUGGGAUAACUUCGGGAAACCGGAGCUAAUACCGGAUAAUAUAUUGAACCGCAUGGUUCAAUAGUGAAAGACGGUUUUGCUGUCACUUAUAGAUGGAUCCGCGCCGCAUUAGCUAGUUGGUAAGGUAACGGCUUACCAAGGCGACGAUGCGUAGCCGACCUGAGAGGGUGAUAGGCCACACUGGAACUGAGACACGGUCAAGACUCCUAAGGGAGGCAGAAGUAGGGAAUCUUCCGCAAUGGGCGAAAGCCUGAAGGAGCAACGCCGCGUGAGUGAUGAAGGUCUUCGGAUCGUAAAACUCUGUUAUUAGGGAAGAACAAAUGUGUAAGUAACUAUGCACGUCUUGACGGUACCUAAUCAGAAAGCCACGGCUAACUACGUG